rnacentral:tRNA from 6 species
GGGGCCAUAGCUCAGUUGGGAGAGCGCUUGCAUGGCAUGCAAGAGGUCGUCGGUUCGAUCCCGUCUGGCUCCACCA